ACCCAGCUGAUGAGUUCAAAACGGGAGGGAACGUGCGUCCUGGAU
rfam:Schistosoma haematobium scaffold75_14, whole genome shotgun sequence.